rnacentral:rRNA from 1 species
AGAGUUUGAUCCUGGCUCAGAACGAACGCUGGCGGCAUGCCUAACACAUGCAAGUCGAACGCUCCGCGAGGGGAGUGGCGCACGGGUGAGUAACGCGUGGGAACCUGCCUUGAGGUUCGGAAUAACUGCGGGAAACUGCAGCUAAUACCGGAUAAGUCGAUCCGCUGUGGUGGCGGAUUGGGAAAGAUUUAUCGCCUUGA